AUUGAACGCUGGCGGCAUGCCUAACACAUGCAAGUCGAACGGUAACACGAAGCAUCUUGCUGCUUCGCGGACGGGUGGCGGGCGGGUGACAAAUGUCUGUGCAGCUGCCUGAUGGAGGGGGAUAACUACUGGAAACGGUUGCUAACACCGCAUAGUGUCGCAAGACCAGAGAGGGGGACCUUCGGGCCUCUUGCCGUCGGAUGUGCCCAGCUGGGCGGAUCUUGUUGGUGGGGUAACGGCUCACCAAGGCGAGGAUCCCGAGCUGGCCUGAGAGGAUGACCGGCCACACGGGAACUGGGCCACGGUCCAGACUCCUACGGGAGGCAGCAGUGGGGAAUAUUGGACAAUGGGCGCAAGCCUGAUCCAGCCAUGCCGCGUGUAUGAAGAAGGCCUUCGGGUUGUAAAGUACUUUCAGCGGGGAGGAAGGGAGUAAAGUUAAUACCUUGGCUGAUUGACGUUACCCGAAGAAGAAGCACCGGCUAACUACGUG
rnacentral:rRNA from 1 species